rnacentral:rRNA from 1 species
GACGAACGCUGGCGGCGUGCUUAACACAUGCAAGUCGAACGGAAAGGCCCUUUCGGGGGUGCUCGAGUGGCGAACGGGUGAGUAACACGUGGGUGAUCUGCCCUGCACUUUGGGAUAAGCCUGGGAAACUGGGUCUAAUACCGAAUACACCCUGCUGGCUGCAUGGUCUGGUGGGGAAAGCUUUGCGGUGUGGGAUGGGCCCGCGGCCUAUCAGCUUGUUGGUGGGGUGAUGGCCUACCAAGGCGACGACGGGUAGCCGGCCUGAGAGGGUGUCCGGCCACACUGGGACUGAGAUACGGCCCAGACUCCUACGGGAGGCAGCAGUGGGGAAUAUUGCACAAUGGGCGC